rnacentral:rRNA from 1 species
GAUGAACGCUGGCGGCGUGCCUAAUACAUGCAAGUCGAGCGAACAGACGAGGAGCUUGCUCCUCUGACGUUAGCGGCGGACGGGUGAGUAACACGUGGAUAACCUACCUAUAAGACUGGGAUAACUUCGGGAAACCGGAGCUAAUACCGGAUAAUAUCUUGAACCGCAUGGUUCAAUAGUGAAAGACGGUUUUGCUGUCACUUAUAGAUGGAUCCGCGCCGCAUUAGCUAGUUGGUAAGGUAACGGCUUACCAAGGCAACGAUGCGUAGCCGACCUGAGAGGGUGAUCGGCCACACUGGAACGGAGACACGGUCCAGACUCCUACGGGAGGCAGCAGUAGGGAAUCUUACGCAAUGGGCGAAAGCCUGACGGAGCAACGCCGCGUGAGUGAUGAAGGUCUUCGGAUCGUAAAACUCUGUUAUUAGGGAAGAACAAAUGUGUAAGUAACUAUGCACGUCUUGACGGUACCUAAUCAGAAAGCCACGGCUAACUACGUG